AACAGCUAGUUCUGUAAAGGGUUGGCUCCGACACCUCUGGAAGGCUACUUUAGGCUCUCCUCCUCAACUCCAACAGAACGGUAACUUGUCGCCUAGAUAUCAUUGCUUGGGUAUACGGGGCGACCCAACCCCUCGGGCGGAUGGGCGACAAGGCUGAAUUGAGACGU
rnacentral:ribozyme from 1 species